rnacentral:rRNA from 1 species
CCUACGGGAGGCAGCAGUGGGGAAUAUUGGGCAAUGGGCGCAAGCCUGACCCAGCAACGCCGCGUGAAGGAAGAAGGCUUUCGGGUUGUAAACUUCUUUUGUCAGGGACGAAGCAAGUGACGGUACCUGACGAAUAAGCCACGGCUAACUCCGUGCCAGCAGCCGCGGUAAUACGUAGGUGGCAAGCGUUAUCCGGAUUUACGGGGUGUAAAGGGCGUGUAGGCGGGACGGCAAGUCAGAUGGGAAAACCACGGGCUCAACCUGUUGCCGGCAUUUGAAACUGUAGUUCUUGAGUACUGGAGAGGCAGCCGGAAUUCCUCGUGUCGCGGUGAAAUGCGUAGAUAUUA